CAGCACCAAGCACACCGCAGCCGGACGGGCACGAAACGGUAAAUACAUCUUCGCUGGCGUCAUCAGCUCGGAAAUCACACGUCACUACGGAAAUGUGCGGUCAAUGCGGGCACCUGUUGAAAGUUCGGAUAUACAAUCGCUGUGAAGACAAAAGAGUUUUUGUCACUAUCAAGUUUAGUAAGAAGCUCCACACAAAUAUGACGUCAUCUUGUAACGAUCCGUGCCCCAUAACCCCCCGGAUAUGACGUCACAACCAGGCGGACAUAUGACAAGAUAUUCGUUUUCGUGAGUGAAUUCUGCUGUGGCCAAACACGAAACUAAAAACGAUCCAAGCUAUUUUAUAAAUGAGAACCGAAGUUCGUCGAUUCGAAUCCCAGGGUAGCUAAAUGAAACCCAGACGUUUUGGCCAUAUUUUCCUUCUUUUCUACCUUCAAGCGAAAAAUUUUCAUCUCUAGUGACGUCUAGCGACUGUGAUGGAGUUGGUUGAACUGUGUUGUUAAUGGAGUUGGGAUGGAGCGGCACCGGUCGUAUAAAAGACUGAAAUGGGCCUCCUAGGUGUUGGGGUAAUGGGCCAAAUCUGGCCUAAAUCCCAGAUCCUUGACAAGAACCUCGUCCCCUGUCUUUGAAAAGAAAAAGGACCUCACCCUCAAAAAAUAGAAUAGAACAGACGUCCAGCGACUGCAAAUUUUGACAAUUAUUGGAAAAGAUUCUAGUAUUUCGGUAAGUUCACGUGUUCCGCUGUUAUAAUAUAUUUGUUCUGGUUAAUAUAUUUGUCUAAAACACUCCAAGCUUGUUUGUAGGCAUUACCCUUUUAACAAAGAUGUUUAUCAAAUUUAUCCCCAUUAUAUACUAUGGCACUCAUCUAUUAAAAAGCGAAAACAACUAAUUA